CCCCUCUCAUCAUCUAUAAUAUGGUCGCCUCCUUGCGGUAAUGGCAUCUUGGUUUUCUCAUAGUUUCUCUAGGUACUUUUAGUAGGGUAUUUUAAUGGUUUUUAGAGUUAUUUUCUUCUUUGGAUUCUCGGACGUUUUCGAGAACUUCUGAUUAAUUGUUUAUCUCCUGAACCGUUAUGACGAUUCCGUUAUUUUCCUUCUUUUGUGGGUUUUUUCUUCCUUGCUUCUGCUCUUGGCGUUUUGGUGGCCAUCCCAACUUUAGGUAAUUUGAAUUGAUUUCACUAAAUUAGAAUGGGAAAUUUUAAUUGUUUAAUGAAAAGUUUUCUACCUAAUAGAUCGUGUUUUUGCUCAAACUUCUGAUUUCUUGUUUAUCCGCUGAUUUUUUGAUGAUCGAUAUACUAAAAAUUAUUCUCUGGAAGAGAAGGUUUUUGGUGCGAUUACCUGGUCUCUUGAGUGGUAUUCUGGAAUUUUCUGGAUAUUGAAUAUUUUAAUCUUUGAUCUUUCUCAUAAUUCUUUGGUGGUUUUAGCCCGUUUGGUAUCAUUUUGUGGGUAUUUCUUUCUUCCUUUGCGGAUUUUUGCUUUUGGUACUGUUGAGCGUUCAAUGUUUUGGUAAUUUGAACUGAUUUCGAUUACUGGAUUGAGUGUGGAGAAUUUUAUGUAUGAUGGAGUUUUUGGCCCCCCCCCCCCCCCCCCCCCCCCCCCCCCCGGAUUCUCAUAUCUUUGCAAGUACUUUUAUUUCUCGUUUAUUUCCUGAAUGCUAAACGUCCUGUUAUGAUGAUUAGAUAUAAUAACAAUUAUUACAAGAAUCUUUGGAAGGAUUGAGUUUUGGUGCCAAUCUGGUGUACUGGUAUUUUCUUGAUACUGGUUAUCUUAAUCUAGGAUCUUUUUUGUGAUUUCGGUGGUUUUAGCUCCUUUUCCUUCAUAUUGCCGGUAUUUCUUCCUUGGUUCAACAGAUAUUGGUUUUGGUAUCAGGGUGGCUGUCAUUUGGUAAUUUCAACUUGUGGAUUAAGCUGUGAAAUUUUAAUGGUUUGAUAGAACCCCUCAAGACUCUCCUAUCUUAACAAAAACUUUGAAUAUCUUAUUUAUUUCCAUAAUCCUAACAUGAAGAGAUACUCAUUUCUUGACAUGAUGAUAGAUACAUAUGGACAACUAUACCAAGAAUCUUCUGAAGGACCGACUUUGGCAUAUUCUGGUACUUUCUUGAUACAGAUUAGUUGCAUCUUGGAUUGUUCUGAUGUUUUUUAGCCCCUUUUUACAUGUUAUGUGGGGUUUUUAUACAGGCUGCUGAAUAUUUUUGGUGUUUUCUUGGCUUCCCUAACAUUUUGGCUUUUUUGAAUUCGUUUCGGUUACUGGAUUAAGUGUGGGAAUUUAAAAUAGUUUGAUGGAGUUUUUCCUCCCGUGGAUUCUUGUAUUUUUUUGCAAGAUAUACUGAUUUUUUCAUUGUUUGAAGCAAAUGUGUAGAUACUGUGAUUUCCAACUAUGAAGAUAGAUAAAUAGUGCAAACCAUUACAAGAAUCUUUAGAAAGAUUGGGUUGAGUCCGUUCUUGGAUCUUGUAUAUUUUCUGAAUCUUUUUGCAAAUAUAAUGCAAUAUCCGGGUAUGUGUUAAACAUAUUGAGGCCAUUAAGUUGUCCAGAAAUGGUUAUUUGCUUCGCAAGUUAAUGCAAUAUACUAAAUCCUUAUGGUGAGUUACUUGCAGGAAAUAAAUUCACAAGUAUAUAAAUUCUGGGCGAUUGCUCAUACAGAAUUACAGAUGACUUUUGGUUCUGAUUCCAUCAGUUUUUGCUCAUACAGAAUUACAGAUGACUUUGGUUCUGGUUCCAUCAGUUUUCCAUUAGGCGGUCUCUUAUUUUUCUCGGGAUAUUUUCAAGACUAAAGGUGUAAAUCAGAAUUAAAUGUUGCACUUCUGUUAGUAUCACAAAUUUGUAUAUUUUGCAAGCUGUUUGUAGUAUAAGGCAGUUAUGAAGCGAAAUCUAGUUAUUAUUUACCGUGGUUUAUAAAGUAUAUUUUAAAAUGCAGAUAAUAUUUUGGAGGAAACGAUUGGAGGAGGUGUGACAAAUUAUAAAGGAUUUUGUGAUGCCUUCUAUGUGGUCAUGAACUUUGAUAAACUUUUCCCGCUCCUUGAUUCUGGUUAAUUUUUCCCACAUUUCUCUGAGGAAACUUCAGAGAGCAGAGGUAUCUUUUUUUCUUGGAAACUUCUAAAUGGUUUUCAGGAUGAUGGUGAAGCAAUAUCUUUACAUGUUUGCUCUUUAUUUUUUAUUUUAUUUAUUUUUAAAAUUUUCAGUUGCUCGGAAUGUGAUCUUGACUCUUAUGUGAAUCCAGUUUUCUUCCGUGCUUCUUCAUCUGCUUGUGGAAAUCCUUGUGGUCAAAGAUAAUGGAUAUUAAUGGAACAUGGGUGUAAGAUUUUCGUUUGGCUUUUUCUUGUUCAUUUCUGUUUCUGCAGUCUUGUUUUUUGUUUUGGGGGAGUUCAGGUGGAGAUUGAUCAUUUUUCAUGGGGUGGUGUGAAGGGAAAAUUAUUCGACGUUAACUUGUGCCUACAUUUGCAUUGGUGGUUCCCCCUCUCUAGCAUAGCUAUAUUUGCAUUGGUGGUUCCCCCUCUCUAGCAUAGAUGAAUGAAGCAUAGAUUGUAGACUUUUUUAGGUCUUCUCGUAUAAAAUGCCUUGGGAACUUGAUCUUUCUCCAUGUGCAGACAGAUUGACACGAAGUGGACAAUGCUUAUAGGAAAACUAUUGAGAUUUGAGUUUUUGCUUGUUUUGCUUUACAAAUUAUAUGGCUGUCCACCUUUCUAAGCAAGUCAUGAUCAACUUUUCCUCUCCUUGAUGGUCUUGUUUUUUCCGUUAUUUCUUGCCACCCCAUUGAUGCAACAAGGAUUUUAUUAAAAGUUUAUUCAAGGCGAAAGACUAAUAAUUAGUAGAAUUCGAGUUUAUUUAGUAGUUUUAUUUUGAUAAUGUGUUCCUCCUUAUUUCUUAUUGUUCCUUAUCAAUUUGUAUGCUUCUGCAUCACCCAUAUUUCAAAUCAAGUUGGAAAUCCGAAAGCACUUUGGAUUUAGCAUCACAUAGCAAUUUAAAAUAUGCAUUAAAUUAUUAUUAUUGUUAUUAUUAUUAUUAUUAUUAUUAUUAGUAUUAGUAUUAUUCAGGUUGAUCAAAUUCUUCCCGCAUGCAUUUUUGUUCUAGUGAGUGUAAAUGGGGCAUGUUGACAAAUACUUAAGAAUCUUUGGAUCAGGGUUUUUUGGUUCCAUUGUCUGUAGGCGUUAAUUGAGGCCAUUAAUUGUUCCUGAAAUGGCGGUUCACUCCUAGGUAAUAUCACUAAAUCCUUAGUCAGUGCAUGAAAUAUAUAAAUCCUGGGUGUUGCUCAUACAUAUAACUUCGGUUUUGGUUCCAUCAGCUUUAGCCAGCACCUUGUUACUGAGGGGAUAUUUCCAAAAAUAAAGGUUUAAUAUCAGAAUUAAGUGUUGCAUGUUGGAUCUCCUUUCUCAAAUACGUCUGUCAUGUAAGCUUAGUGUUUGAAGUACAAUGCAGUUCUGAAGCAUAUUUAUUUGCUGCAGUUUAUACGUUGUUUUGAAUAUGGUGUUUUUCAAAUGCAGAAAUUUGUAGGAAUCCUUGGAGAAAAGACAAGAUUUUGUCCUCAUGUUUUUGAUUUGCAUUAAUAGAAUUUGAUGUCUCUUUUUAGAUGAUGGUAUCCUAUCAUUGUCAAUCUUUUUAUGCCUGAUUCUCUUACUAUACCUAGAUUUUCAUCCCCUAUUUAUUCCCCCUCGCUCAGAUUUUCUCUGUAAAUUGAGUUGUGAAGUUUUCAGUUUGUUUAUGAUAUGGAGUUGUUGGACUCGAAUUUGCAGCUUGAAUCUACGUAUUUGGUUUAAAUACUAUGACCUCGACUUCCCUCGUAAAAAUAAAUGGGCAGUUGUUGACUGGAAAGUGGUGUUACAGCGUAGGUGAAGAAUUGUUUUGUUAAGGACGAAGAUUUUGUCUGGUCUUUAUUUUUCAUGUUCUCAGCAGUCCCAGUUUGUCUUUCGGGGGAGUUCAGAUGGAUUGGUCAUUUUGUAGGGUAGCACGAAGGGAUACUUAUUCUUUGUUAACUGCAGCUACAUUUGCAGUGGUGAUUUCUUCCAACCUGUUCCAAUAUCUGCUCUACAUGAAUGAACUGUAUACUUUUUGACGUCUUUUUAUAUAUAAUGCCUCAGGUUCUUUGAUGCAUGUGCCUGACAGAUUGACAUGAAAAGGGCAGUGCGUGAUAGGAAUACUAAUGUCUAAGUUACUGUGUUUUUGCUUCCUGAUAUUUUGGCCUUUCUGAAGGAGUUUGUCCUGUCUGUCUUUCUAACAAGUCAUGAUGCUGUCCAUCUAUUUCAGUCUGUUGUUUGCUAAUACACUUGUUCAGAUUUGCAUCUUUCCUCUGGUGAAUUAGGUUAAUAUUUUAGGUAUGCAUUUGUACAAGAGCCUUUGGGGCGUUGGUAUUCCAUGUGCAGACAAAGAUUCUUUGAGGAUGAUAAAAUAUUUUUUUGAUUGUUACACCACAAAGAGAAUGCAUGGGAUUCUUGGAGUGAGAGUGAACACAGCUUCUGCUGCUGGAGGCCGUUUAGAUACUGAAAAUAUUUUCAAUGGUCUGGUGGACUCUACACCCUACCUUAACUCUCUUUCUGCCAAUUGACUACAUCAGAUUAACAUAUUUUUUUCUCCACUAUUGUUGAGUUCAUGGAUUUCUUUUGCCCUGGUAGUUAGACGUUGCCUUAUAGACUUUUUAACCCUUGUGGGUAGCUUUGUGUUUUAUUAGAAUUGUGAAGUUAGGUUGCAAACCCAAGUGCAGGUUGCAAGUAGUAAACUCGGAAGUCCGAGGUCGAACCACAGGGAAUUGGAAGGAAAUAAACUAGUCUAUGAGUAGUGAAUAGCGAGGAAAUACGAUGGAGAAGUCUAGCGUUGGGGGAUUCACUUCGGCUAAAUGGGUAGAAAUUGCUCUUAAUCUUUUAUUUAACUCAUAUGGAAAUCAACUAAGGAGUGAUC
rnacentral:lncRNA from 1 species